UACGGGGGGGGCAAGCGUUGUUCGGAAUUACUGGGCGUAAAGGGCUCGUAGGUGGCCAACUAAGUCAGACGUGAAAUCCCUCGGCUUAACCGGGGAACUGCGUCUGAUACUGGAUGGCUAGAGAUUGGGGGAGGGAUGCGGAAUUCCAGGUGUAGCGGUGAAAUGCGUAGAUAUCUGGAGGAACACCGGUGGCGAAGGCGGUGCACUGGGGCUUGUCUGACGCUGAGGCACGAAAGCCAGGGGAGCGAACGGG
rnacentral:rRNA from 1 species